rnacentral:rRNA from 1 species
UCUACGGGAGGCAGCAGUGAGGAAUAUUGGUCAAUGGCCGGAAGGCUGAACCAGCCAUGCCGCGUGAAGGUCAGUGCCCUAUGGGCGUUAAACUUCUUUUGUGCGGGAGCAAUAAUGGUCACGUGUGGCCAGACGAGAGUACCGUACGAAUAAGCAUCGGCUAACUCCGUGCCAGCAGCCGCGGUAAUACGGGGGAUGCAAGCGUUAUCCGGAUUAAUUGGGUUUAAAGGGUGCGUAGGCUGUGAGGUACGUCAGCGGUGAAAUGCCCCCGCUCAACGGGGUGAAGUGCCAUUGAUACUGCCGUGCUGGAAUGCGGAUGCCGUGGGAGGAAUGUGUGGUGUAGCGGUGAAAUGCAUAGAUAUCACACAGAACUCCGAUUGCGAAGGCAGCAUACCGGCGCCCAACUGACGCUGAAGCACGAAAGCGUGGGUAUCGAACAGGAUUAGAUACCCGAGUAGUC